GUGCACCAGUCGAGAAACCUCCGCAAUACACGAAAGUGUGACGGGGCCAUCCCGAGUGCCGUCCGCUGAGGACGGCUUUUCCCCAGUGUACACAGCUGGGGGAAUAAGGAGAGGGCAAGCCUGGUGUCAGCCGCCGCGGUAAUACCAGCUCUCCGAGUGGUGGGGACGCUUAUUGGCCUAAAGCAUCCGAGCCGGCUGGGCAAGUCCUCCGUUAAAUCCAACGAUUCAAUCGUUGGGCUGCGGGGGAUACUGUCCAGCUUGGGGCGGAGAGGCCGACGGUAUUCCCGGGG
rnacentral:rRNA from 1 species